ACAUUAAGAAAAGCAAAAGUGAAAGUGUUAGGGGAAACAUCCAGGAAGCUCUGGUACUACCUGCUUGGUGCCUGACGGAGGUAAUUCCCCACCUUCCUCUCCCAGUCUCAGCAGUGCUAACUCCAUUCCUGAUGCAAACAUCAAACUCUGUUUCAGAUUGGGGCCUUGCCUGAAGCUCCUCCGUGCCAAGGCCACCCACCCUGGGAACCUGAGCUGAGGAGGUAACACAAAUAAACGCAGAGGAAGGGCUAAGGAGAGGACUGCUGCUCCUUCAGUGCCUCACGGAUUAUGCGGAGAGGGAAAGUCACCUCUCACCCCAGGCAGUGUGACUGAGAGGCCAGGCGGAUGAAAUGCUAACUCUCUUCUUUUCGUCACACUGACCCAAAGGAAUUUCUCCUGCUGCAAUGAAGGGUGAACUCUGCCCCACUGCCUCCUUCUACAUUUUAAUUAUUACGAAUCAUUAUGCUUUACACAGUAAAUAAAAAAGGCCUUUGGAGAG